rnacentral:lncRNA from 1 species
CAGCACAGUGGCUCUAUAAACUCAGUUUGGUAGUCAGUCUUUCCUACACUUUCCUUCAGAACUUCCCAAACACUGAGCUAGCUCUGGCAAUGCGUGUGUCAAGCUCAUUAUCAAUGUGGACAUCCAGGAAAAUGGGAAAACAGAGACUAAGUGACUCACCCAAGAUCACACAGAGAACCAGUUGUUAUGCAUCUGCCAGCAUAUUUCAUGAUAUCACUACAGUUAGUAAUCCUUCCACAUCGCUGGGAUUAGGAAUACAGUAUGGUCCCCUUAGGUAUGGAAAAUUCCCCCAAAUUUUGCACUCUCUGUACCAAACGAAUUUGAAUUAUUAUGGUAUUAAAAUAAUAUAUGUUGAUAUUAUAUAAUACUAUAAUGUAUUUUAUGCAUUUCUGAGUUUUUAAUCUUUUUCUGUGUCAUCUGCUGGCUUCAUGUGUCAUCUGCAGCUUCCAUAAAACUCCCCAAAAAUUUCCAUUUAAUUUUUUAUGCCAAUUUAUGAUAUAUCAAAACUGUAAUGGAAACAGUCACAAUGUGGAAGUGGUAAUUAUAUAUCCCUUGACCUGAACCUCUUUCUCUUAUUCAGCUCUCCCAUUCUCUAGCCCCUGGGUGUCUCAAGG